GGAAGGGUGCAAGAGCGGUUUAAUUGGCACGCCUGGAAAGCGUGUGUGCGGGAAACCGUACCGAGAGUUCGAAUCUCUCCCCUUCCG
rnacentral:tRNA from 1 species